GACAGAGGGGGCAAGCGUUGUUCGGAAUUACUGGGCGUAAAGGGCGCGUAGGCGGGAUGGCAAGUCGGUCGUGAAAUCCCUCGGCUCAACUGAGGAUCGUCGAUCGAUACUGCCGUUCUUGAGGAUUGCAGAGGAGACUGGAAUUCCCGGUGUAGCGGUGAAAUGUGUAGAGAUCGGGAGGAACACCGGUGGCGAAGGCGGGUCUCUGGGCAAUUCCUGACGCUGAGGCGCGAAAGCGUGGGGAGCAAACGGG
rnacentral:rRNA from 1 species